CAGCCGCCACGGGAAUACGAAGGGGGCUAGCGUUGCUCGGAAUUACUGGGCGUAAAGGGCGCGUAGGCGGACAGUUCAGUCGGGGGUGAAAGCCCGGGGCUCAACCUCGGAAUUGCCUUCGAUACUGGCUGUCUUGAGUAUGAGAGAGGUGUGUGGAACUCCGAGUGUAGAGGUGAAAUUCGUAGAUAUUCGGAAGAACACCAGUGGCGAAGGCGACACACUGGCUCAUUACUGACGCUGAGACGCGAAAGCGUGGGGAGCAAACAGGAUUAGAUACCCGGGUAGUCCCUGUCUCUUAUAC
rnacentral:rRNA from 1 species